GCCCUCGGAGUCCGAGUCCUCGCCGUGGAUGAGGCGCACGAGCCCGAAGUGCACGGCGCCGCGGUAGCGCCCCGAGACCAGGCAGGAUCCCUGUACUUUGGACAUUUUACAUGCUGUUGAGGAUACAGGACUACACUCAUGGAGAAGUUAGAAAAAAUGCGUGAACCAGAGGUGGCAGCCUAAGGACCUAAGUUGCCCUCAGCCGAGUGCUUUUAGAAGAUCGACAUAAUAUUGAGCUGGGGGUGGUUGUCCAUCCCCCAAAUCUUAGAAAACUCAUAAGAUUCAGAAAACCAAAACCAAAACCAACUGGGGCUACGUGAACUGAAGGAGAGUAAAGCUAUGAUUUAGGAGCAAAGCUGGCUCCAGAAAUCGUGGCCUUCCCAUCCCAGACCACCAUGCAGAAUGGCACCUGGGGUCGUUGCUGUGGGCCGCCGACUCACUCCCCCCAAGACCUCUGGGGCUUAGUCGCAAUAACUGGUAACCUUUCUUCCACUUAGCAUGCCUGUGUGCCUCGGCCCCUCAUAACCUAAUGCUCCUUGAGCCCCUGUUCUUGAGAAGGCUCUGUGUCAGCAACAAGCAUUGUCUUGUUUGUUAUCACAAUCCUGGACGCAGAUGGAGCGAACCCCAUUUACCAGUGAGGAAACGGGGCCUGAGGAAUUCCAUGCCCGGGGUCACACGGUGGUCAGCCGGUCUUCCAGCUGGAAUCCAGGUCUCCUGACUCUGCGUACAGGGCUGUUGAGAUCUUAACUGACAUGGCGAGUGUCUAGUGCUUUGCACGGUGCCCGUCCGUGCGCAGGGACUCCCGUGAGCUGCGAGGCCUUCAUCGCCAUCUCUCACCUGCGCCCAGCUGCCUCAUCUGUCGGCCACUUGCCCCCAAGGAGACUGAAAAUAUCAACGUGAUCCUCCAACUUCUUGACUCAGUAGCUCCUGUGGCUCUCCCUGGGCCACAGAGAAUGGCCCACGUGCUCUUCUGAAAUCAUCCCCCCCUGCACCCCUCCCUCGCCUCUGCUCCCAGCACAUGCGCCCUGCUCCAGCAUCAGCCGCUUCCCGCAGGACCCCAACUUUUUGGUGCCUUCGUACCUUUGCACCUGCUUCACCACCUGCCUGUCAUUUUUGGUUUUGUUUGUCUCCUGCUGUUGCAUUUUGGUUUUUUGCUUUAUUGAUUUGUCCAUUGCUUACGUGCUUAUACAACUUUGGGGUAACUUUGGGCUUCUUCACCUCAGUGACCCUACACCAACUCCCCCCUUACCCUGCCCUAGCCCAUUCCAGCCCCUCCCGCCCUCCUCCCUCUUCCCUCAGCAGCCAGGGUGUUUUUCGCAAAGUCGAAGACUGGUUUUCGCUGUGCUGGUCAUUUCUGACUCCUCGGCUUCAACUCCUGUUUUCCCCUGACGCGCUUCUCUUCACCUUACAAGACCCCGCCUGGGCCUUCUCGUCUCUGAAACCUCCAAGCACCCCAUGCCCCUGCUUGUUCCCCCCUUACCUGGUAACACGUGGCUGAGCACGGCCAUCGGUUGCACACGGGUCUCCCAGGGAUGUGGUCUUUGGGGCGCAGGGACGUGUCUCCUUCAUUUUUGUCUCACGGCAUCCAGCCCAUGUGUGUCUCCCGGAAACCAAUGUCUCCCAAAAAGGCCCUGACGACCAGUCAACAGGUCUAUGGGGCACCCCAUCUCCCCUAGAUAUGGAGAAGAACAUACACACCCCACAUGCAUGCACACUCACAUCACACACACACCCUUUAUGCACACACAUGCACACUAGCACGCAUACAUCCACACAUACACAUGCACACACAUAUCUGCAUACACAUGCACACAAUGCUCGUUCGCCCCUCGUGCACACACAUGUACCCACAUCUAUACACACACACGUGUGCGCACACACAGCCCUCAACCUCAAGAUUUGUGCUGCCCGUUACAGUAACCCUCAGUCACCUGCUCUGAAGUAACAUGUGCUGUCGCGUGAAACACACGCUGGACUUUAACCGUCUGUGCAAAAGAGAAUAUAAAAUAUCUCAUUGACAACUUUUAUAUUGAUUACUUGUUGAAAUGACAACACUUUAUAUAUUAGGUUAAA